GGAAUUAUUGGGGCGUAAAAGAGNUNGUAGGCGGUUUGUCGCGUCUGCCGUGAAAAGUCCGGGGGCUCAACUCCGGAUCUGCGGUGGGUACGGGCAGACUAGAGUGAUGUAGGGGAGACUGGAAUUUCCUGGUGUAGCGGUGAAAUGCGCAGAUAUCAGGAGGAACACCGAUGGCGAAGGCAGGUCUCUGGGCAUUAACUGACGCUGAGGAGCGAAAGCAUGGGGAGCGAACAGGAUUAGAUACCCUGGUAGUCCAUGCCGUAAACGUUGGGCACUAGGUGUGGGGGACAUUCCACGUUUUCCGCGCCGUAGCUAACGCAUUAAGUGCCCCGCCUGGGGAGUACGGCCGCAAGGCUAAAACUCAAAGGAAUUGACGGGGGCCCGCACAAGCGGCGGAGCAUGCGGAUUAAUUCGAUGCAACGCGAAGAACCUUACCAAGGCUUGACAUGAACCGGAAAGACCUGGAAACAGGUGCCCCGCUUGCGGUCGGUUUACAGGUGGUGCAUGGUUGUCGUCAGCUCGUGUCGUGAGAUGUUGGGUUAAGUCCCGCAACGAGCGCAACCCUCGUUCUAUGUUGCCAGCACGUGAUGGUGGGGACUCAUAGGAGACUGCCGGGGUCAACUCGGAGGAAGGUGGGGACGACGUCAAAUCAUCAUGCCCCUUAUGUCUUGGGCUUCACGCAUGCUACAAUGGCCGGUACAAAGGGUUGCGAUACUGUGAGGUGGAGCUAAUCCCAAAAAGCCGGUCUCAGUUCGGAUUGGGGUCUGCAACUCGACCCCAUGAAGUCGGAGUCGCUAGUAAUCGCAGAUCAGCAACGCUGCGGUGAAUACGUUCCCGGGGCCUUGUACACACCGCCCGU
rnacentral:rRNA from 1 species